rnacentral:rRNA from 1 species
GACGAACGCUGGUGGCGUGCUUAACACAUGCAAGUCGAACGCUGAAGCUUGGUGCUUGCACUGGGUGGAUGAGUGGCGAACGGGUGAGUAAUACGUGAGUAACCUGCCCUUGACUCUGGGAUAAGCCUGGGAAACUGGGUCUAAUACUGGAUACGACAUGCCACUGCAUGGUGGUGUGUGGAAAGGGUUUUACUGGUUUUGGAUGGGCUCACGGCCUAUCAGCUUGUUGGUGGGGUAAUGGCCUACCAAGGCGACGACGGGUAGCCGGCCUGAGAGGGUGACCGGCCACACUGGGACUGAGACACGGCCCAGACUCCUACGGGAGGCAGCAGUGGGGAAUAUUGCACAAUGGGCGGAAGCCUGAUGCAGCGACGCCGCGUGAGGGAUGACGGCCUUCGGGUUGUAAACCUCUUUCAGCACGGAAGAAGCGAGAGUGACGGUACGUGCAGAAGAAGCGCCGGCUAACUACGUG